CCUACGGGGGGCAGCAGUAGGGAAUCUUCCACAAUGGGCGAAAGCCUGAUGGAGCAACGCCGCGUGGGUGAAGAAGGUCUUCGGAUCGUAAAACCCUGUUGUUAGAGAAGAAAGUGCGUGAGAGUAACUGUUCACGUUUCGACGGUAUCUAACCAGAAAGCCACGGCUAACUACGUGCCAGCAGCCGCGGUAAUACGUAGGUGGCAAGCGUUAUCCGGAUUUAUUGGGCGUAAAGGGAACGCAGGCGGUUUUUUAAGUCUGAUGUGAAAGCCUUCGGCUUAACCGGAGUAGUGCAUUGGAAACUGGGAGACGUGAGUGCAGAAGAGGAGAGUGGAACGCCAUGUGUAGCGGUGAAAUGCGUAGAUAUAUGGAAGAACACCAGUGGCGAAGGCGGCUCUCUGGUCUGUAACUGACGCUGAGGUUCGAAAGCGUGGGUAGCAAACAGGAUUAGAUACCCUAGUAGUC
rnacentral:rRNA from 1 species